rnacentral:rRNA from 1 species
GAUGAACGCUGGCGGCGUGCCUAAUACAUGCAAGUCGAGCGAACAGACGAGGAGCUUGCUCCUCUGACGUUAGCGGCGGACGGGUGAGUAACACGUGUAUAACCUACCUAUAAUACUGGGAUAACUUCGUGAAACCGGAGCUAAUACCGGAUAAUAUAUUGAACCUCAUUGUUCAAUAGUGAAAGACGUUUUUUCUGUCACUUAUAGAUGGAUCCGCGCCGCAUUAGCUAGUUGGUAAGGUAACGGCUUACCAAGGCAACGAUUCGUAGCCGACCUGAGAGGGUGAUCGGCAACACUGGAACUGAGACACGGACCAGACUACGACGGGAGGCAGCAGUAGGGAAUAUUCCGCAAUGGGCGAAAGCAUGACGGAGCAAAGCCGAGUGAGUGAUGAAGGUCUUCGGAUCGUAAAACUCUGUUAUUAGGGAAGAAAAAAUGUGUAAGUAACUAUGCACGUAUUGACGGUAACUAAUAAGAAAGCCACGGCUAACUACGUG